UGUGCCCCUAAUUUUAUUUAACCACCAUAGGUGCUUUAGUGUGCUUCAGAGUAAAGGACCCUAUUUGGUGAUUUGACUCUUUGAGUCCUGUGACUCUGUAGUCUGCUGUGUUGUGCACAUGCAGCUAUUGCUUAGGAACCUCAAUAGCUUAGUGUCUUACCCAUGAGGGAGUGUGAGAGGGAGAGCUAUUUAGCUGUUCUAAUUUUAGACAAUGAGAUGCAACUACAGGGAGAAAGGUAGGCAGAUGGUGCAAUUUACCUAAAGCCCAUACCCUCUACAAAAGGCAUGAAAAUCAGCCAGUUGCAUCCUGUGAUCUUUAAUAGGGAUAGUUAUCUGGUUAUCUCGUCAUACCACCAGGGUGUUGCACUGAAACGGUCACAGUUUUCCCUGGUGUUUUUUCUAAUCCUUCAGGGAGGCUCCAGAGCCUUGAAAAUUGCAUCAUUUCUAUGAAAAAACUAAACUGUUGUUUCAGUUGCACUAAGAAAUGUCCUUAUUUUCAAAUUUUAAUGUGUUUGUUUCUCCAAAUAAAUAAGUCUAUGCAAUACAUUAAAAGAACAGGAGAAUUAAUAAAUGGUUUUGUGGUGGAUUGUUAAUGUAUAUACUAGGGCUGGGUAUUGGCAAGAAUCUCACAGUCCAAUACUUGCCACAAUACAGGGCUUGCAAUAUGAUGUAUUACAGUUCAUAAGGAAGGAUAAAUAGUGUUUUUCCUAUUCUAAUUCUAACGAAACUGUCUAGGUAUAAACAACACACCAGCAUAUUCAUGUCGUUGGUAGCUCUCAUAGAAGAGCAACAGAAACACUUGAUGACAGUUAAUGAUUACCAUUUUGAAAAACUGGACUUGGAUAAUUUGUGCAGUAACAGAAGUGUGAUUUUAUGGUCAGAUUGUGUGUUGUAAUUGUUCAUGUAAAUUUACUGUGUAAUUGAUGCCAUUUUGGUGUGGCGUUUUAGAUUUUUUUUUUUUUUUAAUUAUUAUUAUUUAUUUUGCAGCAGGAGGUUGACUGUUCCAAUGGAAUGAUAAACUGAAACAGGAAGUAGCACACAACUGAUGGCUGAAUCUGUAAGAAUUAGACCAACAAACAUUUGAUUCCUUCUACUGAAAAAUCUGAAAGUGUGUCAAGCACCACAGUAGAUUUGUAAAAGGUUAGCUAUUUGUUGCUUUAACAGUUGUAGAUCACGUAACAGUAUCACAACGGUGCAUGGCUCAUUUUCCAAGUAACAUAGCUCUAGCUGAUCUCCUUAGUCUUGUCUUUAAUGGAAAAGACAGAAUGAACCAUGGGAGCCAGUAAAACUCUUUAGGAUUCUUCCAUCAGGGCAUUUACUAACAGUAGCUGCUGUUGUACUACUUUCUGUUUUAGUUUACAAUACUGCACCCUAGUGUUUAGGAGUUUAAACACAGCACAAUUAACUGUCUGCAGUGACUCUGCAUGUCAAAAUUAAACUAAACUGACAGUUGUGUUUUUGAGGAUUGAUAAAGUAUCAGACAAUAAUCUGAAAUUGGUGAACAAUAGAUUCAAGUUGGAUGAUGCAACAGAGUCUGCCUCUCUGUCAAAGUAAGACA